AGACCGCGUCAGCGGAGUUUCGCAGCUUCGUCGAAUCCUGCCUCAAGAAGGAGUCCGGUGAUAGGUGGACGGCAGCACAACUCUUGACCCACCCGUUUGUGUGCAAGGACCCGGAAACUCACUAAGUGGGUUGACCCGGAUAAUUUUACUUUGCUUUAUCUUGGAAUAUCCUUUUUGAGACUAUGUGUAUAUUCACCGGAUUCUAUUUUUUUUAGUUUAAGGAGAAUCAUUCUCCUUUGUAAAUUAUGUUCACAAAUGAUAAAAAAAUUCAUAAUAGAUAUGAUUUUUUCCUUCAAUUUUUUCAUUGUCCAAUCAUCCAUCAUAUUCAAGAGCAAGA
rnacentral:lncRNA from 1 species